UACGUAGGGAGCAAGCGUUGUUCGGAUUUACUGGGCGUAAAGAGCGCGCAGGCGGCCGAGUAAGUCGAAUGUGAAAGCCCCCGGCUCAACUGGGGAAGGUCAUUCGAUACUGUUCGGCUUGAAGAUAGGAGAGGGAAGCGGAAUUUCAGGUGUAGUGGUGAAAUGCGUAGAUAUCUGAAGGAACACCAGUGGCGAAGGCGGCUUUCUGGCCUAUUCUUGACGCUGAGGCGCGAAAGCUAGGGGAGCGAACGGG
rnacentral:rRNA from 1 species